rnacentral:sRNA from 1 species
GCUGAAAUGAGCUUUCCAGUGAUCGAGUAUGUCAUUGAUCAAACUGGGCUUCAGGGGCUUCGUCUUGCGAUCGAGCGAGAUGUAGUGAUGUCGAGAUUGAAUGGUCCAGCGACCCUUUGAUCGAGUGCGAUCGAGUGGAUGUCAUGAGGUGGUGAUCGAGUGGUUUCUUCGGCUUCUCUUCUCUUCUUUGUUCUCAGCUUGUCUGGUUGAGAGCAGAACGAGCAGGUAGGCUUCCUGGUGGUCGAGUGGUGAUCGAGUGGUUCUGAUGGGGUGAUUCCUC